UCAAAUAUUUAUUUAAUUUUCCUUAAUAUUACAGCAGGAAUUUACACCGCAACAUAACAAAAUUGUUGUUUGUAGUAUUACAGCUUCUGCGCUUUAAGAUGAUGACUUUCUUCUUUUCGAGUUCAAUUGGUAUAUAUAAUUUACGAAUGCAUCAAUAAAAACUUACUCUAAACAACUCAGAAAAAGACCCUUGCGUAUAAAGGGAAUUUCAAAGCGGAUUCCUUUACAUCAAACGCACGUUGCGUUGGAGCUACUAUAUCAGUAGACUAGCUGAAGCCCAGCGGAGAGGCAAGUUUACGAUGUAACAGUGCAGGUCGGCUGAUCUGCGAACGAGAUUGGACCUGUAAUUCAGUAGACCGAUAUUUACGAUAUUUAUUGGACGGACGAAACAAUGGAUCGAUAUUGUUUUUCGAUUGGCCGUUCUUUGUGUUUCAUAUGCUGGUGGUUACACACGCGGCGGUUUAUCGCGGCGGCGUGUGUGCGGUUGUACUUGUAUGGAAAACACAGACGCGGUCGUCCGUGCAGAGAGCAAGCCUCGUAAGCAACCGGGAUCUUUAUACGAACGAACAUAAAUAAUAUUUAAUAUGACAGGGAGAAGCGGCGCUGCUUUGUGCGAUAUAUUUGGCAUAGAAAUGUCACCGAUCGCGUAUCUUACUUUCAAAUAAGAUCGCGCUCUUACUUUAUCUCCAUGGCGGAUUGUGCGUCGAGCAUUCAAAAACGCUAUACGUAUCGAUGAGCAUCUUUUUUUUCUUCCACGUAUAUAAGUAUAAUUUGAUCGAGCAAGAACAGUCGGGGCUAGAAGGUUAUAACAUACUACAUUAAUGGCAGGAAAUGAACGAAAAUGGUAUAAAAAUGGUAUGGUUGAAAAUGUUAUCUGCGCUUAUAGAAUAAUGGAGAUGAGUGUAUCAAUGUUUUUACCGUUUAUCUACUUUACUUUUACUCGAUUAGAUAAUGUAAGUAUACCAGCCUUUAUAAUUUCUAACCACGUUCUUUCUCUAUUUCUAAGCAACUCUCGAAUCCCGAUACAUGUACACAUCUUCCAGGAAGUAGCUAGUUCUUGUUCGUACGCUUUCGCAGAAAACGUAUAAUACACAAACCCGACAGGAAAGCUCGCGGUCUCGCGAUCUGCCGGUAUUCGUCGAAUCUUCGAUCAGUCCAGAUCGAGCUGAAGUUGGCGAGCACAGGAACAAGAGACGUAUCGUCCAUUUGAAUAUCAAAUUUGAUGCAGCGGCAUAGCUCUUUCGCGUAUCGCGUUAUCCAUAAUCGUAUUCAAAUGAAGAUCACAUAAGGUAUGCUGUUUUAACGGAGGUUAACUCUCGAAGCGCCGUCUUUCUUUCUCUAGCGCCCUCUAGUUUUCCUCCGUUGUCCCCUUCCACUGUUGCAUCUCUGGUCAGCGUUCGCAGUAUGGCGCGGAGUGGGACGAAAGAGAGGCUACGUUCGGUGACGAACAAUAACGAUAAAGCGUAUAAUGGUUAAGCGCGACAAAUAUACAUAGGCAGCUCUAGGAGCGCGAGCUUCCUUGGAACUUGGAGCGCCAACGAAGUGCGGUGCAACGGAGGGAGAGAGAGAGAAAAACAUAGAGCGAGAGAGAGUGUGAUAGAGGUGAACGGAGGAGGAAGAGGUUAGAGAAGGGAUCCACAUAUGCAUACAAUUGAUACAGAUAUACCAUCGUCUUUAUAUACGUGUCGCGUUAUUCUUGCUGCUGCCGCGCGCGGUAUACCGAGCCGGCAUAACACGAACGGCCCGAGCGGAGAGCGCCUCAUAGUCUACAAUACGAUAACGCCGCUCUCAUAGAUUCGAUGUAGCCAGCCGAACGAACCAGACUACCGGAUACCUGCGCGACCGUCCUCCGCCGCCUUAUUGCGCUGACUAUUCGCGACAGGACAGGUUCGCGUACAUCUGUUCUUGUCAUAAGGAGUGAUUUAGGGCUGGUUGCGGGCAUUGAUCUACCCGCCGCGGAGGAUAUCGACCAUAGAACCACGGAUCUCCCUUCAAAAAAUCCAAGAUCGAACGUGUUUCAUUGAGCAACAACGUUUCAAUGCCAUUUUUCAGGAUCCAUUGUUACACCCGAGUCAGAAGAGAGGUAGGCCUGGCCACGUUGGUACCGCCUACUAGAGUGAUCCCGACAAGGAAGGACUUGACCAACCUCGUCCUGCCCCUCCAGCACGAUCCUCUACUCCUGGACUCAACCUGACGGGAUCACGUUCUGUGCCGUCGUUCCGAUUAAUUCUUUUGCUGUAAAGGGUGCACUCUUUGGCCGAUUCACCUGUCGCAAAGCGUAUUGGAGAUCGUUGAUGCCGUGGAAAGAGAAAUGGCGGCGGUUCAGGUUUAUGCAACCCAGAUAUAUUUAUCAUUCUUCCAGAGGAGUAAUUGCAAGAACAUCGAUGACAGAAAAUCUUCAUUCAUCGGUCUUCGUCCACUGAACCAGAUGAAUCGAACCUACGUCACAACUUAUUAAGUCGAUAUUCCACGAAGACGACACUUUUGAAAAUUUCCUUGCCUCGUUGCCAAAUCUUCAAAUUCCCCCAAACGAAUUAGGUGUAUGUUUUUUAAUCAACGCUCCUAAGCACGCGUGCUUCAUCGUGACAAUCGUAGCGAGGAUAGGACAGGAUAGCACAGCGACAAUUAACCACGUUCGUCCAGUAGCUGAUGUAUAUACAUAUAUAUCGGGUUUCGUGAUAUUUCUUAAUUAAAUAUAGCCUCAAGUUAAAAAUGAAAUUAAAUAGAAGCCAGUAUUUUUCGCCGCCGCCUACCGGCGCCGCGUCCACCGCAUGGCCAACCCUUUCAACCAGUUUCUCGGUCGUCGACAAUGGCGAGAGUAAGGUUGCACGGCCGUCGUACGCCCAUUUCGACUCUCUCUGCAACCCCUUCUCGCUUUCCACGGGCCACCCACCAUACAUAUUUCACGUCGAAAUAAUUAAACGCCGCUGGACCGCGAGUCGACUCGCCUCGGCUCGACUUCGAAGCCUGGCCUCGCUGAUUAUUAAUUAGAUCGUGCGUGCCUUACCGAGGCAAGCCUCUCGAUUUCCCGAUAAGCUGCUGACCAUCGGUGUGGGCUCCUAGCCAUGAAAACUCCUGCGGUAAAACGAGUAUUAAUGGAAACUGAUAGACCCAACCGAUUAUCUUUGCGUGCAAAGAGACGUUCUAGUUAUAUGCGUGUUGGAUUAUCUUUGUUUGAAUUUCAUUUUACCCUCCUUAUACGGAACAGUGGUGUUUUUAAAUGAUUUAAAAUAAUGUAAAAUGAUUUUAAUAUUAAAAAUGCUGCAUAGGGAAUAUUUGAAUCGCAUCGGUUUGUCUUAAGAUCAACGUUGAUUUACUAUUUUUGCUAUUGAAACAGAAACAUCUAUUUUCUUUAUUACACAGUGUGUGUUCUUUUUCUGUUAAAUCCUCUGCAAUUUAUAGAUACUUGAAUCAGGUAGAUCAUUUGUAACACUCUGGGAGUCUUCUCUUAAAACAAAAAUUACUUUGAAACUUUCGACAAGAUAUAAGUGACAUAAUGACAAUUAUAGGAAAAAAAUAUAGAAAUAGAAUUUUUAAAAUACUUAAGCAUUGAAAAUUAGAGCUACAUACAAAUAAGUAAUUUAUGUCAUACCGAUUAAUAUAAGAAGGUUUCCCUAAAGAUUCUUAGGACUCUUAAAAUUAUCUUAACAAUGUUAAAACAUUUGUUCAUCGUCUUAAUGAUCUACUGUUCAAUUUGUCGAGAAGUUUGACGUUCGCGUGGCGCUAAUUCUUGGAGAUACUGUCAUCUCAAAGGCGAUUAUCAAUUGCCUUGUCAAUUACACCCCGUCCAAGAAUGACGUGCACAUGUUACUGAACCCUCCUGUAACUAGACCCCUGCUCUUCCUCUGUGUUGCUGCGACCGAAUCUCGAGGCUCUGGCAUGAUCGCAACGAGUUAUUUAAUUACCACGAUCUAUCACCGGCUGUCAGCUUCCAGUCUAUAAUGCAUGAUCGAUCGAGCCUCGACUUUCCUACGGCAACCCUUUGCGUCCACACCUCCGGUCCCGUGUGUGUUACGCGUGUUCAUCUAACCGAAACGCCAAGAAAAUCUCUUCUGUUCCGUCAGAUUUUCUGUCGUUGAUACCUUUAUACCUUUGUUUGAGAAAGCAGCUACGAAGUAUUUUCUUUUCUUUUUCAUAUCUCAUAGUAAUUAUUAUAUUACAAAUAUUUCUUACGUAAUAUAAUAUAUUGAGAGCAUUCAUUAUUUUACUUCUUUUCCUGAAGAAUUCCUCACUUUUUCUAUAUCUAUAGUAUAAUCGCAUAAAGUAUUU